AAAUUGUGACAAUGGGGGAAACCCUGAACGAGCCAUCACGCGUGUACGUUUAUGGCCUCUGGGUUAUAAAGUAUUUUUGGCAGAGAAGAAAAGGUACCUCCUAAUGCAUGGUACUGCUGACGAUAUUGUCAUAAUAAUCACCGUGUAACUAUGUGCCAGCAAACGGGGUAAUACGUAGGGUGCAAGCGUUAAUCGGACUUACUCGGCGUAAAGCAUGUGUAGGCGGUUAGGAAAGAAAGAUGUGAAAUCCCAGGUCUCAAACUUGGAACUGCAUUUUUCACUGCCGUGCUAGAGUAUGUCAGAGGGGGGUAGAAUUCCACGUGUAGCAGUGAAAUGCGUAGAUAUGUGGAGGAAUACCGAUGGCGAAGGCAGCCCCCUGGGAUAAUACUGACGCACAGACACGAAAGCGUGGGGAGGAAACAG
rnacentral:rRNA from 1 species